rnacentral:rRNA from 1 species
UCUACGGGUGGCUGCAGUGAGGAAUAUUGGUCAAUGGACGAGAGUCUGAACCAGCCAAGUAGCGUGAAGGAUGACUGCCCUAUGGGUUGUAAACUUCUUUUAUAUGGGAAUAAAAUGUUCCACGUGUGGGAUUUUGUAUGUACCAUAUGAAUAAGGAUCGGCUAACUCCGUGCCAGCAGCCGCGGUAAUACGGAGGUUCCGAGCGUUAUCCGGAUUUAUUGGGGUUAAAGGGGGCGUAGGUGGAUUGUUAAGUCAGUUGUGAAAGUUUGCGGCUCAACCGUAAAAUUGCAGUUGAAACUGGCAGUCUUAAGUACAGUAGCGGUGGGCGGAGUUCGUGGUGUAGCAGUGAGAUGCUUAGGUAUCACGAAGAACUCAGAUUGCGAAGACAGCUCACUGGACUGCAACGAACACUGAGGCUCGAAAGUGUGGGUAUCAAACAGGAUUAGAUACCCCAGUAGUC